CUUUGUAUUUUCCCAUCAUUUCCCUGCUAGUAGUCCAAAAGAUAUUCAGAAUGGUAAAAGCUUCGUCUACCAAACAGGUGAAGAUGUCUGAAGGUGUUUUGGAAGGAGGAAAGGGGAUCCUUAUUUCUAUUUUGCAGCUGAGGAAGCAGAAGAAAGAAGAAGCAUUGCAACAUGUCUACCUUCAUGGGGAAGUUUCAGGCAUCCAAUCAGGAGUGGAGACCAGGAUGAAUAAUGGAAAUACAUAGUUCACAGAUAAUACUCAGGCUGUAAUUUGUACUGGCAAAUGAUCUGAUGAACAUUUAUAAAUAACUGAAGCAUAGUAUUUUGGGGGCACAAAAGAUUUUACCCUCAAACAAGGCAGAAGAGAGAUGAACUUGUUCAUGGCUAAGGGCUCUAAACAAAUAACUUGAGCAGAUAGCAACGUCAUCCGAUAUAUCCUGACUUAUCACAAGAUCAAAGGCCAUUAAGCUAUGAAAACCACUUUGUUGUAUGAAAAGGCAUGUGUAUCAUUUUAAGUGUCAUCUUUCCCCAAAGACAUGGACCAGUAUCCACAACUGGACUGAGGAGAAUUCAGGCCAAGAUCCAACAAGCCCUAUGGAAACUUCACCUCUGCUGAAUAAGUGAUUCCUGCCAGAUUGCUUUUCUGAAGAAAAGAGCUUCAUGUCAUAUUCUACUGUCCUGAGAAUCAAGGGGAUUACCAUCUGUGGUGUGUACUCCACACCUAGUUGUCCAGGAAAGGGCUACUCUUCAUCUCCUCAGACACUAUGUUUGCUCCCAGAUGUUCAAUACUGCAACAUUUAUUCAGGAUCUAACGACUUUUGGAGGACAGCCCUAAGGACCUGAGAGGAAACA
rnacentral:lncRNA from 1 species